rnacentral:rRNA from 1 species
CCAAUAGCGUAUAUUAAAGUUGUUACAGUUAAAAAGCUCGUAGUUGAAUUUCGGGAUCAAUAUGUCGGUCGUGCCUCCGGUACGUACUGGCAUCAUUGAUUUCUCCUUUCUGACGAACCAUGAUGUCAUUAAUUUGGUGUUAUGGGAAGUUAGGACUGUUACUUUGAAAAAAUUAGAGUGUUUAAAGCAGGCUUUAGCUUGAAUACAUUAGCAUGGAAUAAUGAAAUAGGACGUUCGAACCUAUUUUGUUGGUUUCUAGGAUCAACGUAAUGAUUAAUAGGGAUAGUUGGGGGCAUUAGUAUUCAAUUGUCAGAGGUAAAAUUCUUGGAUUUAUUGAAGACUAACUACUGCGAAAGCAUUUGCCAAGGAUGUUUUCAUUAAUCAAGAACGAAAGUUAGGGGAUCGAAGACGAUCAGAUACCGUCGUAGUCUUAACCAUAAACUAUGCCGACUAGGGAUCGGAUGAUGUUAAUUUUUUAAUGACUCAUUCGGCGCCUUACG